rnacentral:rRNA from 1 species
GUGACAAUAAAUAACAAUGCAGAGCCUAACAGGUUUUGCAAUUGGAAUGAGUACAAUUUAAAUCCCUUAACGAGAAUCAAUUGGAGGGCAAGUCUGGUGCCAGCAGCCGCGGUAAUUCCAGCUCCAAUAGCGUAUAUUAAAGUUGUUGCAGUUAAAAAGCUCGUAGUUGAAUUUUGGGCCCGACUGGGCGGUCUUGCCCCGUUGUAAGCACUGCUCGCCUCACGGUUCAGGUUGGGCCUUUCCUUCUGGCUAGCCAGCUGCCUUUCACUGGGUGGGCUGGGGAACCAGGAC